GGCUGUAGCUCAUUGGUAGAGCACUUGCCUUGCACAUGUGAGGCACUGGGUUCAAUCCUCAGCACCA
rnacentral:tRNA from 1 species